CCUUCGUUCGGCGUUGGCCGCAUCAUGUACUCGCUCCUUGGGAACAGCUUCCGAAAGCGCUAAGGCGAGGAACAGCGCAGCUAAUUCUCGCUGACCCCGAUCGUGCCCCCCCCCUCAAGUGCUUUCGUACUGCCGCUGAGCAACAACACCGACUUCUCCCCAUUCAGGAAGAAGAUCUCUUCGGCCCAGCGUGAACAUCUCGCACAAGGUGAACGACUCGAGUGGCUCGAUCAGUGGACAGACGAGCUGGUUGGGAGUAAUCUACGACCGCCGAUGUUUCCGGCAAGCGGGACGGCAUGGACCAGAGCGAAAGUACGGUGGAUGAAAGCUAUCCGAGCGGAUAAUGGUCAAGGCAGGAAAAUUUCAUCUCUAGUGGAAGUCACCUUGCUUGACGGAUUCCGGCGAUUUGGUCCGCAGUUCAGCACCGUCGACGCGGCCAACAGACUUCAGCGGUGCGAUUCCUCAGAGGUACUGUCUGGAACAUUAGUGUAAUAUAUUGUGAAACAUUCAAAUUUUAGUAAUUAAAAAAUGGGGAUUCAUGG